rnacentral:rRNA from 1 species
UGCAGUCGAGCGGUAACAGAUCCAGCUUGCUGGAUGCUGACGAGCGGCGGACGGGUGAGUAAUGCAUAGGAAUCUGCCCGAUAGUGGGGGAUAACCUGGGGAAACCCAGGCUAAUACCGCAUACGUCCUACGGGAGAAAGGGGGCUCCGGCUCCCGCUAUGGGAUGAGCCUAUGUCGGAUUAGCUAGUUGGUGAGGUAACGGCUCACCAAGGCCACGAUCCGUAGCUGGUCUGAGAGGAUGAUCAGCCACAUCGGGACUGAGACACGGCCCGAACUCCUACGGGAGGCAGCAGUGGGGAAUAUUGGACAAUGGGGGAAACCCUGAUCCAGCCAUGCCGCGUGUGUGAAGAAGGCCCUCGGGUUGUAAAGCACUUUCAGCGAGGAAGAACGCCUAGCGGUUAAUACCCGCUAGGAAAGACAUCACUCGCAGAAGAAGCACCGGCUAACUCCGUGCCAGCAGCCGCGGUAAUACGGAGGGUGCAAGCGUUAAUCGGAAUUACUGGGCGUAAAGCGCGCGUAGGUGGCUUGAUAAGCCGGUUGUGAAAGCCCCGGGCUCAACCUGGGAACGGCAUCCGGAACUGUCAAGCUAGAGUGCAGGAGAGGAAGGUAGAAUUCCCGGUGUAGCGGUGAAAUGCGUAGAGAUCGGGAGGAAUACCAGUGGCGAAGGCGGCCUUCUGGACUGACACUGACACUGACGUGCGAAAGCGUGGGUAGCAAACAGGAUUAGAU